rnacentral:rRNA from 1 species
CAGUAGCCGCGGGAAUACGAAGGGUGCAAGCGUUACUCGGAAUUACUGGGCGUAAAGCGUGCGUAGGUGGUGGUUUGAGUCCGUUGUGAAAGCCCUGGGCUCAACCUGGGAAUUGCAGUGGAUACUGGGUCACUAGAGUGUGGUAGAGGAUAGUGGAAUUUCCGGUGUAGCAGUGAAAUGCGUAGAGAUCGGAAGGAACAUCUGUGGCGAAGGCGACUAUCUGGGCCAACACUGACACUGAGGCACGAAAGCGUGGGGAGCAAACAGGAUUAGAUACCCCCGUAGUCCCUGUCUCUUAUAC